CACACAGCAACAUUUGCAGCAGAAUUUCUUUAUUACAAAAAGUUACAAGUUACAACAAAUUUACAAUAUAUUUAUCGGAGUGAUUACAAAAGUGAUUCAAAGAAAUAUACUUUGAAAUGUUAUAAAUUAUUUAUGAUUUUGAAAUAUAUGCUAGCUCAAUGACAAUCCUCAAUAAGAAGUAUAGAAGAGCUACUUUAACCUAUAAGAAGGCCGAGCCCACUAGCACUUAGCACCAUCAACAACAGCACAAAUCUAUUACCUGCAACAACAUGGGUUCGAAAACCCUGAGUACGGAGUGUACUUUCGCAAGUCUUACACGUUUAAGGAAAAAGACUCUCAAGGAUAUGCUGGAUUUUGGGAAUCAAGGUAAAGCUUAUCAAGAUUCAAAGACUCCAUUUGUAGAAAGGCUUACUAGUAGUGGAUCCCUAUGCCAAAAUUUUACUUCACAAGUUAAGUACUUUUCCAGAAUCUAUAUUUGCCUAAUCUAGAGCAUUCACUUGUCCUAGUCUAGCUUUCUUUUACCAAAUUCUUAUUUUACUUAUUAACUACGAUGAGUGGUCAGAGGGUAGAGUCUCCAUGACUGAGGAGCAACGACGAUUCAAAUCGAUUAUUCCUAGCUGGGGAUUCCUAACCACACGACAUUUGUAGCACUUAACCCAUGCAUAUGUCAACCGUUCCCACAGAUCCUCCACAACAUGAACCGGUCCACGCUACCUGGGAGCAUAGUACUCCUCUGUCCAGCCUCUAGCCAGGAGGGUACACGCUACUCCCACCAUCUCCCAUGCUCAGUGCGUGGUUGUCUUUUCACAUAUGGAAUAGCCGAGUUCAGGCUUACCGGAGCAUGUGGCUAGUUGCAAAGUCUCCACAACAACAGGCCUACAUCGAUCAGUCCUUAAUCAACGCAGAUGGGCGAACUUUCCUGCUCAACGUCUAGUCUACAUUACAUAUUAUUUCCCAAAACUUGAUACCUGAGAGAGACACCCUACUUGAAUGAUGAAAUCAUUGCGGCUACAAUGGGUUCAUCAUCACAAGUCCUUUUAUUUCACAAACUCCCAUAUCCCGUGUUACACAUCAUCUUUAAAAAACCAUCCUAAAUUAAUAAGCAGGGCUAAGCAUCACUAAAUUUUCAUAAAACAGGUAUUAGGGUUGUUUAAUCAAGGAUGGAAAUGCAUCAACUGUUUGAUCACACAACUCCUAUCACAUAAUGCAUCAUUCAAGGUUAUAAAUUUUUGUAAACAUCAAGGAAAGAGGUGAAUGCACGGGGGCUUGCCUAGGAUAAACACUACGUUAGUGUUGUUAGAGACAUCUGGUUGGCGAACAUCCAAAAUCCUGGUACGGUCAAUACAUUCAUCUUCUGUCGACAUAGUCACUAAGAUAUCGUCGGUCCAUGCCCUUCAUCUCGCACGAUCAUUAGCGUACCUACAUGAUAUGCGAGAUGCACAUGAAUGGAUAGGAGCAUAGAUACCACAUCAACUAAAUCAAGAACCACACCACUUGUUCUAAUAAAUAGGGCCUUAUUAAACAACAUAAGAGUUUUCCCAAGAUCAUAAUUUAAACCCUACAAAUUUAAAAUACUAAGGUGGAAUGCCUACUAUGUAGUUUUCAUAUUUCUUUGAAGGGGGCUUAAGGGUAAUACAUGCUUUCAACUAAUUUGAAUAACGAUGAAUAUUUAUUCAAGACGAUUAGCUUAAGCACUCAAGCUCUAUUUAUGACUUUUAAUCAAUCAACAAAUAUAACACCCGACAAUUACUAUGGCAAGACAAUAAUGAAAUGAUAAAACAGUACAAAUAACUCUAGGCGAAUAUGUUUAUCUAACUGACAGAAUUACCAAACUUAUUCUAUAUAUUCACUAAAACACUUCUAGCAUAAUAAGCACGUCAAACUUAAAACCACAAGAACUAUCCAAACCUAGUGACCUACACAAAAGAAGUUCCAAACAACCAUUUUAAUACUUGCUGAUUUUGGACAGCAAGACAGCAACUAUUUGUUUAGCUCAUAACUCACAAGAUAUUCAUUCUAAAAUAGUAAACUAGAACUUUCUGGAAAUCUUAUGAAGUUCUCUACAACUUUGGUAUUACCAUCGGAACAAGAUUCGACAUUUAGAAAUGUCAAACAGUGCUAAACGUAAAUUAUGUCCAGAUUAGGACAGAAUUCGACUACUCACUUCAAAAAUUCAUAACUGGAGUCUCGAGCAUCUAAUUCAGGUGAUCCUAGACUUUUUCGAAAGCUAAUAGAAUUGUCUACAAUUCAUUUAUAAAUAUCUCAGGUUAAUUCAGUUCUUAUCAAGGUCAAAAGACAUGAGAAAGGCUAUGCUGUCUAAAUUUGGACAGAUUCAGAGUUCACACUUUAAACAGUUAUAACUUAACUUAUAGAUCAUCAAAAAGGGUGAUCUAAGACUUUUUGGAAAGAUUAAAAACAGUACUACAAUUCUUCUAUAAUUAGUAAGGGCUGAUUCUCAGUUUAAUUUAGUCAAACAAAGCAAUUUUCGAAAUCAGUACAGAAUUUGGACAGAUUCAGGUACUGGAAUUUGAAAAAUCAUAACUCUUAAACUACUUAACCUAUGGUCAUUUAAUUUUUACACAAACAAGAUAAAGAAGUUGGCUACAACUUUUGUAUAUAACAUUUCUACAUAAAAUAUGGUUUACUUCAUUGAACUAGCUGUAUAACUAAAACUGUACCUGCAGCCCUAAACAGUAAUACAUUCAGUUUAACUCCUAUUUGGCUUCUAAAAUUAUCUAUGUUCUUGACGCUUACUAACGCAAGGCAUUAAUGAUACUACACAAUUGAAAUUUAUACAAAUAACACUAAUAGUUCUUAUCGGCUACACAAUUUAAAAUGCUAGUCCUACUUCUCGCAUUAUUAAUUAAAUCUCACCUAGCACAUAAGUCUAAGAACACAUGGCGCGACUACUAUAUAUUCACGAAAACAAUUACAACACCAUAUGAGAGGAAACAUUUCUGCAACACAUUAUGAGCAACAUAUAACACAAAGGAAAAGAGAAAGAUAUCAUUCGCUGAGCAUCGCCACAAUAUAACUAACCAAUCCAACUAAUAGUAAAAACAAAUCAGCUCACCAUAAUCGAAUCGACUCGAUAUAUGUAAGAACGGCGACAGUUCCUUGGUUCUAUUUCGUCGAACACCUAGAGCGCACCGAACUGAGACAUGUUUCCUUCAUCGAUUCAGUCACUUCAUCGAACAUAAGGGAUGCAAGCUAGCAGAGACAGCGGGGGGCUCACUGGCAUGGACGACGUUGUGGCCUGGGCGAGCACAUGGGGAGCAACGUCGGCAUGGGGAGGCAUGGCCGACGGCGCACAGCCGGAGUUGACGACACCGGAGCUGAGAGGGGCAGGGCCGGUGGGCUAACGGAGCUGGCGAGCAUUGGCACGGUUGGAGAAGGAGCAGGGCUUAGAGGCCUUGUGCCAUAGAGCUUGGCUACCGGCGAGCUGAUGCAGGGCGCUGGGAGCUCGAGCACAGGGAGCAGCUCGGCUACCGGCAAAGACCAAGCGCAGACGAGCUGAACAUCUACAGGGAGCCGUGACUUCAGAAACAGAGAAAAAAUGGCAUAAGAAAACAGAUGAGCUGUGUUCCUAGGAAACUAGUGGAUAACGCCUAUGAGAUGAAAGAUGUGGCUGGUAGAAAAUCCUAGGCUUUCUACGUGGAGGUGGAGGAGAUAAAGGAAUGUAUACCGGAAUUUCUAGAGCUAGUACGUGGAGGAGUACGUGGAGGGCAUAAUGAGCUCCAAUGGAUAAGGGAGGAGAGACUACGUGAUUAGGAUAAGAGGGAACGCAGUGGGGGAAUUUGGUUUUUUUUCUUUUCUAUUUUUUAGACUAAAGCAAAAUGCAGAUAUUUUGAUGUUAUAAAAUUAGUGUCUAAAAGAUGUAUAAAAGGAUCGAACAAAAUAAGAUCGACAACAAUAUUUGGACCGAAUUUAAUUUGAUGAAUACUUCGGAGUCAGAUGAAUUUUCACUCAUUAUUUAUAUAUGAAGUUUUGGAUCUGGGCGAUAAACACAUGGACCAAAUCAAACGAGAUCAACUUCGAUAUUGUAGACUAUAUUAGAUCCAGUUUAAUUCAGAUAAAUAUCACCCGCCAACCAAACCCAUGAUUCUCUGACGUGAAUACCAUACUGGAAGAACAAUCCCAAAUAUAAACCUCGCACAUAAAUUUUCUCCAAUAACGUGUGCGGUCGGAUUAUAAAGUUUAGACACUCUGUAAAUUUAUUCUCACCCACUCGAGUGAUUCACACAGUAUAGAACUCGACGUCUCGGGAGAUACUUAAAUUUCAAACUUCAUAAAAUAUUUAGAAUAGUCCAAAUGAAUAGAAAUGCAGACGAUACAUGAGAUAGUGUUUUAGACGAGAUGUCAAUGGACCAAACCAAACGACAUCAGAGUCGAUAUAUUAAGACUGUGCUUAAUUUGAUUCGAUUCGAAACCCGAUUAUUUUAUCUGCAGUCUGAACAGGGAAACAUAUUAAUUAUGAAUACUCAAUAUCAGCUCUAAUUAUCUCGGUCCAAUUUAAUCUCGCAUCAACACUCUUGUCGUCGAGCUUCUAAUAAAUUUUGUUCGGGACGAAAUUGGAAGUCUGAACUAAGUUUCCAAAUUUGUAUUUGAGCAAACCGAUGAACUUUAAAUAAUCACCAGACUCGCUAAUUUUUGGAACAAUUAUGUUCCGAACAUCACGAAAAUUUUUAAGAAGAAGAUGAUUAGGACAUAGACACCGUUAUUCUCAUAGAUAAUUUUUUUAGAUCCAUACUCAUGGUCAAACGGAAGAUAAACACCUAGGGUGUUACAACCCUCCCCCCUUAAAAGAAUCUCGUCCCAAGAUUCGGAACGAAAGACUUCUAAGAGUAGAGCAACGUGUAACUCCUGUCCAUAUCAGUGACAACAUAAGGUAGUUCCAAACAGAGACUAGUAUCUUAGAAUGUUGCUUCUCUAGUUUGUAUAGCAUGUACCACUUUAGGUUAACUAGACAGGUCAAUAAAGAGACGAUGUCUGACAGAAGAACUCGUAAAGUUUCAUAUGUGUUGUUUUCUUUGUCUGACAACAUGAGUUUGUUGAGUGAGCAGUGGACAGAUGGAUAGAAGUUAUCCAAAGCAAGUUGGAUGCAACCUCAUGGGUAAAACACAAAAGAGGUUUGUCGAUAAGUCAGCAUUAGAACUCCAUAGCACAUGAGAUGAGUGUGGAUGUUGAACAACAUAACGGUUAACUCGUGGUUAGGCAGAGAAUUUAAGUCCAAGAAAAAGGAUAGAGCCUCGAAAAGACAUCAGGGAUGGAAUCUGCAGAUGUUGACUUCAUAAUCAAUUCAGUUUAUCAAGCACUAAGCAUGGCUCGACUUGAUCACACAUGCUGGAAAAGCACACGUGAGGCGAUCGAGGCAUGACUAGAGCGAUGAUUAGGUGGUUACCAGUCAACUUGACUUGAUUCUUGUAAGUACUUCCCUAGGAUGGGUUGAACUAAAGUGAGUUUAGACAACUCGACAAAACGAUUUCUAAACUCAAUCUUUGUUUAUAAGGUAGCUACAAGUUAGUAAAACCAACUUGUUGAACUACUUUGGACAUGAAAUAAUAAUUUUUUAUCACACGGUUAGACACAGAUGGGUUCCAAUUUUCAAUGGAGACUUCUAAAUUGCUAGUGAAUUCGUUAAAGAGCACAUUAAAGCGGUAUGCUUCUUGAUUCAAUAGAGAUGACAGAUGUUGCUUGAGUAUUUCACAAACAACAUAGAAAUUGUUUCAAGGGAAAGGUUUAUGGAAGAUAAUAUAUCGGUGUAGUUCCGUAAUGGAUCAUGACUAGAGACCUCGAUACCAGCAUGCGCUGAGCAGAAAAUCCUGUGUGCGCAUUCACAGGAGGCUAUUAGUCUCGUCGCGGCACCAUAAGUCAUUAAUCAUGACACCAUUGUUGAACAUCACCAACAAUGAAUCCCAUGUGGUAAGAACAAUUUGUGUAGAGAUAACAUAUCGCUAUAGUCUCAUAAUGGAUUAUGACUACUAACUGUGAUACCAGCGCGUGCCUAGUAGCGCAACCAUGUGUUGAUCACCCACAUGAAGCCCUCGGUUUCGUAGCGGCACCAUUGGUUUUAGUCAUAACACCAUUACUAGACGUAACCAAUAAGGAAUCUCACGCAACGCAAAUAGACUGAGCAAGGAUGGCAAUAUACAAAAUAGACUCCACUUGUAAAAAUGAUUACAAGUAGAGAGUCAAAUAGAUCAUGGCCCGAUGAAAUGAACAAGACAUGGUCAGAACCUAAAUUGGUUGAUGAAGGGAGUAUGAUGGGAGACUGAUGGGAGACUAUUAAUUCAGCCCCAAGCAUAUUUCUAUGCCCAUCGUAGAGAUGACAAGGUCAAGGAUUAGUAUUUUAUUAGAUACGGAGGGAAAACAAUCAUAAUAUUAAGUUGGUAUGUCUUCGAUAGAUAUGAGGAAACCAAAGGCAUCAAACUCAAGAAAUUGAUCGGACAUGUCUUUCCUGGGUUAGGUUGAUAAAAUAAUGACAUGAUCCUCAAGAAGAGGCAAACUGGAAUAAAGGAUAUAAGCUUGCACCAACCAAAUAAGGACAUGGUUUAGGAUGGAGACAAGACCACAAAAGAGUCACAUAUUAACUAUCUAGAACACAGACUCGAGAUCCUUAUUUUAAGUCUGCGUGUAUUUUACAUCCAACAAAAAGAUUAUCUAAGCAUUCAUUUGCACGAGUUUGGUCAUGGAGUGAUAACGGAAAAUUCAAAUUCAUCCAUGCUUAGAGAUUUGGAGGAAGUUUCAGAGAAAUGACAAAGUUAUGGUUUAAACCUCUUAUUAUUUCAAAGAUGGAGAUGAUGAGGAUACAUCCUGGUUGAAUUGAGAAGAUUCCAAAUCUUGUGAAAUGAUAAGCUUAACACAAGAUGACACAUAGGAUGAAUAGUUGAGUUUAAUACGGGUUUAGGUCAAGGUUCACUAAAUGAGCACAUGACCUAGCUUUGGGUUUAGGCAAACAAGUCACCAACAUUCUAUCAGCACAUCAAAUACAAGAGCAAACACCAUUUGCACUAAUGGUCAAAUUAAGAAAAGCUGGAAGCCAUCUAAACACGUAUCUCUAAGACACCACAUUAUUUACAAUCACCAAGUAUUGGAAUAAAGGUGAGAGAAGCAUGUUGGUGCACAGGGGACAAACAUGAUGCAACAAUCAGGAUGCAUGCUCGUCCUGUUCAUCCUCACAAGUUUUGUCAAUAUAAUGUGGCAAUAGCGUUCUAUAUCGGUGGCAUUCUAACGACUCUCUCGUUAUUUUGCUAGUCGUCGGCUACAUAUAAAUUUUCGAGAUUAAUGUACCUGCAGAAAAUUCCAUCAUAGCCCAAUUUUCCAUGAUGCAAGAUCCACACAUGACAGUUUUAUCACAAUUUAUACUCCAUAUAUUGCUAUAUGGAGGCUAGCUCCUCAUUAAGCGUCGAGCCACGCAUAGGCGCCGCUGUCACACUUUAACCAUAGGACAACCCAUUAUGGUAACUCACCUUACCUAGACGUAGGUGUGUUGCUGCAAGCACAUUACACUUCUCAGUAUUCCCAUGUCUGUAUAACCAUACACAUCCAUGGGGUACAGAAUCCCUGAAAAUUAAAUACUCCACAUCGCAGCCUUCAUAUAUACAUAUAUGUGUAACAUGUAUAUAAUCAAGCCCUUUUUUAUGCUCUCCCCUAGACCGACGUUUGUUCGGUCAUUCUCUCACAUCUCACCUUACCUGAGCAUCGAUCCAUUCAAGACUGAAUGACCUCAAAAAUAACAAUACACAUGUAUGCAAUUAUCCCCUGGUUGUGGGUUAGUGUUUUGAGCUAAGCCACCUCAUAGUCCUUAAUUUAGGGCUUAACAGAGGAUGUCGCUAGCAUUAUAGUUUUUCAAAUAUGCUUUUCAAAACCAAAUAAUGUGUUUACUUGAAAAUAGGUUUUCUAAAACCAAAACUUUGUUUUGAAAUAAGUUUGUGACCGUAUUAUACUUAAUCCUGCUCAGAUACCAGUUGUGGCAGAAUCUCCCAAGUUAUUGGGCCACAUGUACAUGUCCUCGUCUCAAAGACCUUAGACGGCUAUGCAUGUGCACCGGAUAACUUAACAGGAUCUGUCCGAGUGUCCCAAGGACCCCGAAUAAACCACUUACAACUAGGAUCGCAAGAUUAAGUAAACACAAAUCACACAACAACAUUUGUAGCAGAAUUUCUUUAUUACAAAAAGUUACAAGUUACAACAAAUUUACAUUAUAUUUAUCGGAGUGAUUACAAAAUUGAUUCAAAGAAAUAUACUUUGAAAUGUUAUAAAUUAUUUAUAAUUUUGAAAUAUAUGCUAGCUCAAUGACAAUCCUUAAUAAGAAGUAUAGAAGAGCUACUUUAACCUAUAAGAAGGUCGAGCCCACUGGCACUAAGCACCAUCAACAGCAGCACAAAUCUAGUACCUGCAACAACAUGGGUUCGAAAACACUGAGUACGGAGUGUACUUUCGCAAGUCUUACCCGUUUAAGGAAAAAGACUCUCAAGGAUAUGCUGGCUUUUGGGAAUCAAGGUAAAGCUUAUGAAGAUUCAAAGACUCUUUUUGCAGAAAGGCUUACUAGUAGUGGAUCCUUAUGCAAAAAUUUUACUUCACAAGUUAAGUACUUUUCCUGAAUCUAGUUUUGCCUAAUCUAGAGCAUUCACUUGUUCUGGUCUAGCUUUCUUUUACCAAAUUCUUAUUUUACUUAUUAACUACGAUGAGUGGUCGGAGGGUAGAGUCUCCAUGACUGAGGAGCAACGACGAUUCGAAUCAAUUAUACCCAGCUGGGGAUCCCUAACCACAUGACAUAUGUAGCACUUAACCCUUGCAUAUGUCAACCGUUCCCACAGAUCCUCCACAACGUGAACCGGUCCGCGCUACCGGGAGCACAGUACUCCUCCGUCCAGCCUCUAGCCAGGAGGUACACGCUACUCCCACCAUCUCCCACGCCCAGUGCGCGGUUGUCUUUUCACGUAUGGAAUAGCCGAGUUCAGGCUUACCGAAGCAUGUGGCAAGUUGCAAAGUCUCCACCACAACAGGCCUACAUCGAACGGUCCUUAAUCGACGCAGAAGGGCGAACUUUCCUGCUCAACGUCUGGUCUACAUUACAUAUUAUUUCCCAAAACUUGAUACCUGAGAGAGGCACCCUACUUGAAUUAUGAAAUCAUUGCGGCCACAAUGGGUUCAUCAUCACAAGUCCUUUUAUUUCACAAACUCCCAUAUCCCGUGUUACACAUCAUCUUUCAAAAACCAUCCUAAAUUAAUAAGCAGGGCUAAGCAUCACUAAAUUUUCAUAAAACAGGUAUUAGGGUUGUUUAAUCAAGGAAGGAAAUGCAUCAACUGUUUGAUCACACAACUCCUAUAACCUAAUGCAUCAUUCAAGGUGAUAAAUUUUUGUAAACAUCAAGGAAAGAGGUGAAUGCACCGGGGCUUGCCUAGGAUAAACACUACGUUAGUGUUGUUAGAGACAUCUGGUUGGCGAACAUCGAAAAUCCUGGUACGGUCAAUCCAUUCAUCUUCUGUCGACAUAGUCACUGAGAUAUCGUCGGUCCAUGCCCUUCAUCUCGCACGAUCAUUAGCGUACCUACAUGAUAUGCGAGAUGCACAUGAAUGGAUAGGAGCAUAGAUAGCACAUCAACUAAAUCAAGAACCACACCACUUGUUCUAAUAAAUAGGGCCUUGUCAAACAACAUAAGAGUUUUCCCAAGAUCAUAAUUUAAACCCUACAGAUUUAAAAUACUAAGGUGGAAUGUCUACUAUGUAAUUUCCAUAUUCCUUUGAAGGGGACUUAAGGGUAAUACAUGCUUUCAACUAAUUGAGUAACGAUGAAUAUUUAUUCAAGACGAUUAGGUUAAGCAGUCAAGCUCCAUUUAUGACUUUUAAUCAAUCAACAAAUAUAACACCCGACAAUUACUAAGGCAAGACAAUAAUGAAAUGAUAAAAUCAGUACAAAUAACUCUAGGCGAAUAUGUUUAGCUAACUGAUUGAAUUACCAAACUUAUUCUAUAUAUUCACUAAAACACUUGUAGCAUAAUAAGCACGUCAAACUUAAAACCACAAGAACUAACCAAUCCUAGUGACCUACACAAAAGAAUUUCCAAACAAACAUUUUAAUACUUGCUGAUUUUGGACAUCAAGACAACAACUAUUUGUUUAGCUCAUAACUCACAAGAUAUUCAUCCUAAAAUAGUAAACUAGGACUUUCUGGAAAGCUUAUGAAGUUCUCUACAACUUUGGUAUUACCAUCAGAACAAGAUUCAACAUUUAGAAAUGUCAAAUAGUGCUAAACGUAAAUUCUGUCUAGAUUUGGACAGAAUUCGACUACUCACUUCAAAAAUUCAUAACUGGAGUCUCGAGAAUCUAAUUCAGGUGAUCCUAGACUUUUUCGAAAGCUAAUAGAAUUGUAUACAAUUCAUUUAUAAAUAUCUCAGGUUAAUUCAAUACAUAUCAAGGUCAAAAGACAUGAGAAAAGCUCUGCUGUCCAAAUUUAAACAGAUUCAGAGUUCACACUUCAAACAACUGUAACUUAACUUAUAGAUCAUCAAAAAGGGUGAUCCAAGACUUUUUAGAAAGAUUAAAAACAGUACUACAAUUCUUCUAUAAUUACUAAGGGUUGAUUCUCAGUUUAAUUUAGUCAAACAAGGCAAUUUUCGAAAUCAGUACAAAAUUUGGACAGAUUCAGGUACUGGACUUUGAAAAAUCAUAACUCUUAAACUACUAAACCUAUGGUCAUAAAAUGUUUACACAAAUAAGAUAAAGAAGUUGGCUACAACUUCUGUAUAUAACAUUUCUACAGAAAAUAUGGUUUACUUCAUGGAACUAGCUGCAUAACUAAAACUGUACAUGCAGCCCUAAACAGUAAUACAUUCAAUUUAACUCCUAUUUGGCUUCUAGAAUUAUCAUGUUCUUGACGCUUACUAACGCAAGGAAUUAAUGUUACUACACAAUUGAAAUUCAGAUAAAUAACACUAAUAGUUCUUAUCGGCUAGACAAUUUAAAAUGCUAAUCCUACUUCUCGCAUUAUUAAUUAAAUCUCACCUAGCACACAAGUCUAACAACACAUGACGCGACUACUGCAUAUUCAUGAAAACAAUCACAACACCAUAUGAGAGGAAACAUUUCUGCAACACAUUAUGAGCAACAUAUAACCCAAAGGAAAAGAGAAAGAUAUCCUUCCCUGAGCAUUGCCACAGUAUAACUAACCAAUCCAACUAAUAGUAAAAACAAAUCAGCUCACCAUAAUCGAAUCGACUCGAUAUAUGCAAGAACGGCGACAGUUCCUUGGUUCUAUUUCGUCGAACACCUAGAGCGCACCGAACUGAAACAUAUUUCCUUCAUCGAUUCAGUCACUUCAUCGAACAUAAGGGAUGCAAGCUAGCAGAGACAGCGGGGGGCUCACCGGCAUGGACGACGUCGUGGCCUGGGCGAGCACAUGGGGAGCAACGUCGGCAUGGGGAGGCAUGGCCGACGGCGCACAGCCGGAGUUGACGACAACAGAGCUGAGAGGGGCAGGGCCGGUGGGCUAAGGGAGCUGGCGAGCAUUGGCACGGUUGGAGAAGGAGCAGGGCUUAGAGGCGCUUGUGCCAUAGAGCUUGGCUACCGGCGAGCUGAUGCAGGGCGCUGGAAGCUCGAGCAUAUGGAGCAGCUUGGCUACCGGCAAAGACCAAGCGUAGACGAGCUGAACAUAUCCAGGGAGCCAUGACUUCAGGAACAGACACUACAACACAAACC
rnacentral:lncRNA from 1 species